CAGCUCCUCCCUUCUCUCUCUACUUUCUGGAUGCCAUGAGACGAUCAGCUUUUCUUCUGCCACGCCCCUGUGCCAUGCCAUCCUGCCAUGGAGCCAGAUGAACAUGGUCUGAAAUAUGUUGUCUUCAACUUUCUUGCUUCCUAUGCUACAAGGAAUGAACCUGAUCCUUUCUGUCCUGCAGCUCCAGGUCCAGAAACACAUGUGUAAAAUAUUCUUGAAGAAAAGCAGUGUUCUCAUCACAAAAAUGACAACUAUGUGAGCCAGGCAUGGUGGUGCACGCCUGUGAUCCCAGCACUUGGGAGGCUGUGGCAGGAGGGCUGUCAUGAGUUUGAGGCCAGCCUGAACUACACAGGAAGAUCCUGUCUCAAAAAACAUUAAAAAAUUAAAAUUAUCUUUCUCUUUCAAAUCUUACAACUAAUCCAUACACUGUAAUUUUUAAAGUAGAACAAUUUCCUGGCUUCAAAG
rnacentral:lncRNA from 1 species